CAGCCUGCCCAGUGACAUAGUUAAACGGCCGCGGUACCCUGACCGUGCGAAGGUAGCACAAUCACUUGUUCUUUAAAUGGGGACUAGUAUCAACGGCACCACGAGGGCUUUCAUGUCUCCUUUUUCCAAUCAGUGAAACUGAUCUCCAUGUGAAGAAGCAGGGAUAUACCUAUAAGACGAGAAGACCCCAUGGAGCUUUAAAUCCAACAAACAGCCCGACACACAUAACUCAUCUUAGUCAUCAAAGCCAUGUUUGUUGGUUUUAGGUUGGGGUGACCGCGGAGUAAAACUAAACCUCCACGACGCACGGGAUUAGUCCCUUAUCUAAGAGCUACCUCUAUAAGAAUUAAUAUAUUAACGUAAAAUGACCCAAAUACAUUUUGAUCAACGAACCAAGUUACCAUGGGGAUAACA
rnacentral:rRNA from 1 species